UGCCCCAUGGCUGAGUUGGUUACAGCGUCCGACUGUUAUAUUUCUGUGUUGUUGCAAUCGGAAGGUCGUGAGUUCGAGCCUCACUGGGGCAG
rnacentral:tRNA from 1 species